UUCAACAACCCUUCAUGCUAAAAACUCUCAAUAAAUUAGGUAUUGAUGGGACGUAUUUCAAAAUAAUAAGAGGAAACACUUUUCAACAUGUUUUAUGAGUCUACCGUUAUCCCCAUACCAAAACCAUAAAACAGACAUUACAAGAAAAUGUCCUGUAGACAAAUAUGUAUUUUGAUGAUGAAUUUAGAUUUCAAAAACUUCAGCAAAAUAUUAUCCAAUUAAAUCCUCUCAUGUCUGUGUGUGUGUGUGUGUGCAUGCACGUGUGUUUGUAAAAUAUAUCAUUACUAAUUGGCGUUUAUCUUGGGAGUUCAAGAUGGUUUCCAUAUUCAAUCAACCCAUCAAUGUGGACUAUGGUCACUUGAAAAGACCAGCAAAUCCUCUGCACAAAAGGCCACUAGAAAUUCAUUAAAGCAGCCUUCCAUCAUUCUCGAAAUUGACCAAAGCAUUCAACUACCUGAGAAAUAUUUAUGUUUGGAAAGCUAUUGAAAUGCAAUUAAAAAUAUCAGGAAACCUGUUUUUACCUUUUGUCCUAAUCUUGCUAAAUCCUUCUUAAUUUUAGGAGACACUGCUUCUCCUUCCACUGUUCUUUUACUUUCUCCUUCCCCUUUGUUUUUGCCUCCCCCUUCCUCUCCCUUUUCUACAUUCCUUCUCUCUCCUAAAUGCUGUAUAAAUUUCUACAUAUGUAAUCAUAUUAUUUACAAAUAGGAACAGUUUUACUUAUUUCUUUCCAGUCUGCAUUUAUUUUAUUCUUCCUUUUUUUCCUUACACACUGGAUAGAACUCUAAGUAUUAUGUUGAAAAAGAGUGAUAAAAGCAAACAUCUUUGCUUUAUUCCUGAGCAUACAUGUGGAAAACAUUCAGUGUUUCACAGCUAAAUAUGAUGGAUUUUUUGUAUGCUCUUUAUCAAGAUGAAGGAAUUUUCUGCUAUUUCUGGUUUGCUGAAUUUUUAUCACAAGUAACUGUUGAAUAGUGUCUUUUUCCCCUGCAUUUAUUGAACUGAUCAUGCAUUCUCCUAUUUUAGAAUAUUAAUAUGAUGAACUAUAUUAUUAGAUUUUUUAAAAUAUUGCAACUGUCUUGCAUUUCUGGAAUAAACAUGGCUUGGUCAUGUGUCACUUUUUUACAUAGUGUCGUAUUCAAGUUGUCGAGGAUUUUGCAUCUAGGGUAUAUUUGUAGAUUUGCAUCUAGGUUAUGUUGGUCUAAAGUUUUGUUUGUUUGUUUUCCUUUUCUUUUUUUUUAUCAUCUUUGUCUUCUUCUGUUUAAGUGUCAUGCUUGCUUCAUAAAAUGAAUUGAGAAGCAUUUCUUCCUCUUCUGUUUCUCGAAAAUUGUAGAGAACUCUUGUUUUUUGUUGUUGUUUGUUUGUUGUUUUGUUUUUUCUUAUUUUUAUCCUCAUACUGAGAACCAAACAGUCUGGAGUGUAAAACAUGGUUCCUCAUUCCAGUUAAAUCUAGUAUACAAUGACAACAACCCUCUUGGGUUAAGCAUUGGCCUACAAACAGAAAAAAACCUUCAGGGAGAUAGAUGCUGAUCUAGGCAUUGUGAGAAAAGCUGAAUUCAUUUUUAAUCAUGAAUGGCUUUUAAGGAAAGAAGAUUUAUUAACUAAAAUAAAUAGAUUAGAGGGAAUUCUCACCUAUGAGAGAGGAAGGGAUGGGAUUCAACCUGGAAAAAGUAAUGAAGUUUUAGUGAACUUGGUAAGGUAGACUCAACAAUUAAUGAUGGAUAAUGCUAGGACCCAACACUGGUAAUGAGUUUGUAUUAUGACUCAAUAGCAUCACUUUAUCACUUUAACACAGAUGGAGGCCUAAAUAACCAUAGGGUAAUGGUUCUUCUUAGAUGCAGAAGGACACAUUUAUAUAAUCUUAGGGACCCCAUCUCUGAGGUCACUCAUAAUUUAUAUUAAUUCAUUGUUAUUGCCAUUGCCCCAAGAAUAGAUAAGGAUAAGACAUCCUGUAGUACAGGUAGCAGAGAUAUAAACUAUUCUUAUUCUUGUGUCUUGUCUAUAGGAAGGGAGUGUAUCCUGGUGUAAGACAGCAUAUAGUAGAGACCAUUGUCAAUUAGGGCCUGUGAACUAAGACAGGGUGACUGGCUAAGUCCACAACCCAUUAGAAACCCAGAAAUAAUCAAAUCAUGAGGGAUCAUGGAAAGGAAGCUGAAUUUGCCAAGUUUUGCCACUUGGGCAUUGCAUGCCUAUGUGAUUAACCACCAAUAAAAACCUGGGACAUCAAAGAAUAAAUAAGCUGCUCUAAUUGCCAAGAAUUCACAUGUGGUUGUAUGCAGCUUUACUGGGAGACUGAAGUGUAUCUGCAUGUGAUUCUGCUGUGAUGGACACUUGAUCUUGAGAUGACGUCAUACUGGAUGAUCCUAGUGCACCCUAAAUCCAAUAAGUGUUCUUAUGAAAGACAGAAGAGGAGAAGAUACAGGAAAUAGAAGAAGGCUACUUGAGGAUGGAAGCAGAGAUUGGAGUUAUGCAGCUACAAACCAAAGAAUGCCUUGAGCCACCAGCAGCUGAAAGAGCUAGUCAGCAAUACAACUGGGAUUUGAUAUCAGAUUCAUACGAUUCCGAAGACCCUGACCACCAAAUGCAAAAGGUACAUGGCAACAGCUGAUUGCAAUGAGAGAAAAACAACUAAUAAGGCAACAAGCAGGAUACUAAGAUAUUUUCCAAAAUGAAUAGCACUGAUUCUGUGAGGAAUGAACAUUGCCAAACAAGUGUUUUGUUUUGUUUUUCAACUCCUCUAAAAAAAUUCACAUAUAUGCAUGCCACUUUCCUGAAAAAUAUCUGCCUCAUAAUUGCCAUAAGAAACGGUAUGGACAACUCUUAAACAUUCUGAAAGUAGUCAGGGAUGGGGGAAAGCAUUUGCUGUUUUAGUCUGUUCCUGGUCUUAUAACAAAUACCACAAACUGGGUAAUUUAUGAUUACAGAAAUGUAUUUCUGAAAGUUCAGGAGUUGGGAAGUUCAAGAUUAUGGCACCAACAUAUUCAUUGUCUGAUGAGGGCCUGUUUCACAGAUGUCAUUUUGCAUGACUUAAUCACAUGGUAGGAAAAGCAAAGGGACAAAAUGGACAAAUGCCAUGUUGUCACAUGGCAGAAGAAAUGGAAGAGCCAGGAAGCUCUCAGAAGCUUCCUUAAUUAGGAUAUUAAUCUCAUUCAUGAGUGCAUAGCCAUCAUGACUUAAUUGCCUCCAAAGGCCCCACUUCCUCAUCACUUUGAGGAUUAAACUUAAACAUGAAUUUGGAGGAAAUAUAUCCAAACUCUAGGACUAGUUUAAAUGUAGCUAAAAAGGUUUCUUCAUUCUGUAAUCGUUAAUAUGCUAAUAUUUUUGUAAAUAUCCAAGAGGAAGCUAAAGCAUAUAAUAUUCCAAAAUUUAUUUCUGUUUGUGGAUAUUAUGUUUUCCUCUCAUUCUAUCUUAAGAAAUUAGUGUCCUCAAGAAACACUAUAUAGGAUAAUUGUCUUUCAAGUUCAUCAACUACCAGUUCUUGAUUCUUCAGUAGCUAAUCCUAGAUAGUAAUACUUAACAGAUUAUAAAAACUUGGGUGCUGCUAUAUAAAUGCGCUGAAACUCCCAGGGAACCAAACAUAAGGACUUAAAGAGAGAUGUAACUAGGGAUCAUAAUCAUGAAUUUCAGCUGCUUCUCUAUCUUUGUCAGUGAGCAAAUGACCAUACAAAAUAAGGUAUUCAAUUAUUAAUUCUGUGCCCAUAUCCCGGAAUUUUGCCCAAUAUAUUUGUAAGUUUAGAUAAAUAAGGCACUAAUGCCAGGGAUAUGUAGCAUUAGUUCUGGGUUUAUAAAGGGAUAUUCACAACCUCUUGCCAUCCACAGAAUUUAUCAGCCCAAAGUAAACUAUACUCGUUGGUUAAGGGCAACCUGAGACAUGUUUAAAACUGAGGUGGACUGAAGAGUCAACUAAUUGCAGGAAUCUUUUAUUUGGUUGAAAUGUUCAAACAAGUCCCACUCUGAAUUCUAUUAGAAGUCCAUCAUUGGCUUCUCUCUCUUUCUCACUGUCUUAAAUCAUGUAUUUUAUAACACUAUGAAGAAUGAAGUUCAAAAGAAUAAGCUAAAUUUAAUUAAUUAAAUUAUUUAUUUAUUUAUUUUGAGACAGAGUCUCACUCUGUCACCCAGGCCAGAGUUCAG
rnacentral:lncRNA from 1 species